rnacentral:rRNA from 1 species
AAAAACAUGGCUCCCUGAGAUUCUAUAAUAGGGAGUCGGACCUGCCCAGUGAGUUUUUAACGGCCGCGGUACUUUGACCGUGCAAAGGUAGCAUAAUCAUUUGCCUUAUAAUUGAAGGCUAGUAUGAAUGGUUUGACACGAAUAUAGCUGUCUCUUUAUAAUUUAAUAAAAUUUUAUUUUCAGGUGAAGAAGCCUGAAUCUAAUUAAAAGACAAGAAGACCCUAUCGAGCUUUAAAAAAACUAAUAGAAUUACAAUUAAUACUACUUAAAAGACUGUCUAUUAAAUAUUUUGGUUGGGGCGACUGAGGAACAUAUAAAGCUUCCUUUAGUAAAAUAAUUUUAUAAAUUAUACUAGAAUUGAUCCAAAAAUUUUUGAUUAAAGGAAUUAGUUACCGUAGGGAUAACAGCAUUAUCUUUUUUAAGAGUUCAUAUCGAAAAAAAGGUUUGUGACCUCGAUGUUGGACCAGAAUAUCCUAAAGAUGUAGCAGUCUUUAAGGGUUGGUCUGUUCGACCAUUAAAAUUCUACGUGA